AUACGGAGGGAGCUAGCGUUGUUCGGAAUUACUGGGCGUAAAGGGCGCGUAGGCGGUGGUGUAAGUCAGAUGUGAAAACCAUCGGCUUAACCGAUUGGAUUGCAUUUGAUACUGCAUCACUUGAGUUCAGUAGAGGAGAGUGGAAUUCCCAGUGUAGCGGUGGAAUGCGUAGAUAUUGGGAAGAACACCAGUGGCGAAGGCGGCUCUCUGGACUGACACUGACGCUGAGGCGCGAAAGCUAGGGGAGCGAACAGGAUUAGAUACCCUGGUAGUCCUAGCCGUAAACGAUGGGUGCUAGGUGUUGGAGGUUUCCAUGCCUUCAGUGCCGAAGCUAACGCAUUAAGCACCCCGCCUGGGGAGUACGGCCGCAAGGUUGAA
rnacentral:rRNA from 1 species